UACGUAGGGUGCGAGCGUUAAUCGGAAUUACUGGGCGUAAAGCAUGCGCAGGCGGUUUUGUAAGCCAGGUGUGAAAUCCCCGGGCUCAACCUGGGAAUGGCAUUUGGGACUGCAAGGCUGGAGUGCGGCAGAGGAGACUGGAAUUCCUGGUGUAGCAGUGAAAUGCGUAGAUAUCAGGAGGAAUACCGAUGGCGAAGGCAGGUCUCUGGGCUGACACUGACGCUCAUGCACGAAAGCGUGGGGAGCAAACAGG
rnacentral:rRNA from 1 species